ACAAAACAAUAAUAAAACCAAUUUGAAUGUACGGAAUACCACUAACGGGGACAGCAAUAAUGAGUCACAUAAAUAAACUAGGAUCGCUGUAACAGUCAAUGCCCCAUGGUAUGUCAGAAACAAAAAUAUAGGGACUAAUUUGAUAGGGACAGAGAAACUAUACGUGAUCGUAAGCAUUCAGGCUGCUCAUCUCUCAUUACAGAGGAACUCAAGAAUGAAUCUGCGAUUUCAUUCCAGUUUUUUGCAAAACUUAAAGAACUGUUUGGUCGAUAAUGCAUCACAAGACACGAUGAUUUAAAGGAUUGCGUAAGACGAUGAUUAUGGGAACUAGCGGCGGAAUCAUGAUGAAGAUAUACAAAAACUCGUAUAAUGUUACGAUAAAUGUAUAGUAGUAUAUAUAUACUAAAGUUACAAAUCAAAAAAUCUUUUUAAAAUGUA